rnacentral:rRNA from 1 species
CUCUUGACGUUAGCGGCGGACGGGUGAGUAACACGUGGGUAACCUACCUAUAAGACUGGGAUAACUUCGGGAAACCGGAGCUAAUACCGGAUAAUAUUUCGAACCGCAUGGUUCGAUAGUGAAAGGUGGUUUUGCUAUCACUUAUAGAUGGACCCGCGCCGUAUUAGCUAGUUGGUAAGGUAACGGCUUACCAAGGCGACGAUACGUAGCCGACCUGAGAGGGUGAUCGGCCACACUGGAACUGAGACACGGUCCAGACUCCUACGGGAGGCAGCAGUC